rnacentral:lncRNA from 1 species
CUUUAUUUGCCUUGUACAGCAUCAAUUUUCUUACAUUCUCAGUUAAUUGGCCAUUAAAGUGCUGGAAAUUUUCUUAAUCAUGAUAACAUUUGUUAAAAAGAAAUCAGAACUAAUAUCAGGAACAUGGCGGCAUGAAGGAAACAGUUCCCUUACAAAACACAGAAAAUGGAAGCCCCUCAUGUUGAGGGGGUGGGUUGGACAAUUUGCAAACAGAUUCUAAUUUCCUCUCACCGUCAGCACCAAACUGGCUGGGACCACCACCCCUGGGUGAAAGAAACAACACUAAAGAACCCUAAAAACACCCACACACCCUGACUACCACCACCUCUGGGCCAUCUGUGGGCGUUUGCUGUUUGAACAGAUCCAGUCUCAGGAAAGAGGAAGACCUGACCUCCGUCUGCAACCCAUCACCCCACCCACCCUUACUAACAAAAGCCCCCAAAGUCAUUACAAUGAAAAAGUGGGUUUCCAUUACCCCAAAACUAACAAUGUUCAGUAAAAAUGAGGAUAAUAAACACAAAAGCUUGCUUAGUAAACAGGAGCUCUCAGCAGUCAAUGCAAAAAAAUAUAUAUAUAUGAAAUCUUAAGGCAAAUACUGUUGACUUUGCACAUGGGCUGGACGAACUUGGAACUCUUUACCUAUCUGUAUAGUUCCAGGAGCCUACAGGCGGUCGGUUUUUCAGCGCUUGCCACCGGGCCAGGCAAGGUCUUUGCAUGAUUGCUGAGGCAGUCGGUGUGUUUCCCUUUGGAGUUUAUAUAGGAACACACCACCCAAGGCUGAUGUUUUGUUAUAUAUAUAUAUAUGUACACACAUACAAAGGCCUGCUACUCUUUCUUUGUGGAAACUGACAGCUCCACCUCGGGAAGCUGGAUGCCAACCUUAUUCCCACUGUCAUUGCUAGAAGAGGAGGACAGUCGGGACUUCUUAGAGGCCAGGGACACCCCACUCCCCUGUAACUUGCCUGUCUCAUCAUCGCUCCCAGUCACCUCAUAAUGACCUUUGCUCUUUGACCCCAAUCCACCAAAGGUACCGAAUUUCAGCUUCCCGUGUUUCCCUUUAACUUUCCCACCUUCCAGAGACACUUCCCCACCUUCAAACUCCAGCGUCCCCGUCGGGGUGGAAGGUCCAGAGAACUCUCUUUCAUCACUGAAUGAAUUUGAGCGGUGCCGUGGCUUCUUACUUUUAAAUAAGGAGAAUUUGCCUUUCGGUGAAGAGGCUUCGGCCUCUGCCUCUCCUUCCAGAGAGCCCAGGCUGGCCUUUGAACUUUUCAGGUCACCUUUGGACCCAGAAAUUGAUGCUUCUGGUGAGCCAGUGACACCACCUUUCCCUUUAGGUUUGGAAAAAUUAAACUUGGGCAUUUUGAUCUUGGACUUUUUCAGUUUGACUUCAGACUCUUCCCACUCGCCGUCUCCAGCACCAGCUUGGAUGCUGGCCUCUGCUUUAGGGAAGUGAACAUCCACCCCCAUUUCUCUGCCAACCAGCUCACGGCCAGAGAAGGUAAAUUUGGGGAUCUUCAUUUUAGGGAAUGUUACUUUUCCAGAUCCACUUUCCAAGUGACCUUGAGGCCCAGACACACUCAGCCCAGGAGCCUGGAGUCCAAUCUGACCUCCUUUCACACCUCCUUCCACCUUUGGUCCUGAGAAAUGAAGGCCCCCAGCAAACUUAGAUGUGUCCAAGUUGAGAGCAGAGGAGACUUGGGGUCCCUUCCACUCACCCCCGGAACCUUUAACACUCAAAUGCCCUUCACCAAGGCUGAUGUCUGGGGCACUGACACCCCCUGAAACAUCCGCACCUCCUUUGAUUUUUGGGCCCUUCAAGUUGAUGCCAAAAUCUGACUCAGGAGAUGCCAUAUUAAAGGCAGGCCCCUUCACACUGAUAUCAGGAGCAGCCCCAUGGAAACCUACUUCUGAACCUUUCAGACCACCUUUGAUUUCAGGCCCAGAAAUCUGCCCAGUUGGGAGUUUCACAUUCACGCCUGGCAGGUUCACAUCACAUCCAGAGGACUUAAUUCCAGGCAUCUGGAGGUUUCCUUCUAGGCCUUGAACACCAAUGCCUGGAAGACCUCCUCCGACAGUGGGGCCUUUGAUCUCACCAGUGGCCCCAAGGCUCCCUUUCACUUUUGGUCCUUCCAAGUUAAAGUCCACAUUCGGUGCUGAAAUCCGAGGCCCUUUCAGGUUCACAUCCACACCUGGCCCCUUCAGUUCGCCAGAAACCUGUGGCCCCUUGGCAUUGACGUGCAAGUCGGACCCCGGAGUAGAGAUGCCAAAUUGGGGCAGCUUCAUUUUGGGAAGUUUAAUGCUGCCUUCGGAUGCCUCCAAGCUUAGAUCAGGAGCUCCUACGGAUACUUUAGGGCAUUUGAUGUCACCAGAGACAGCCAGAUCUCCCUGCAGGCUUGGUCCCCUCAGUGUCACAUCUGGUGCCCCAACGUUAAGCUUUGUUGUGGCAUCGAUCCCUGGCACUUUCACACCGUCUCCUCCCACCUGCAUUUUGCCACCGACACCACUGAGGUUGAGCCCUGGAGCAUGCACCUUCAUGCUGGGAACAGAUGCAUCCAGGUCUCCCUUCAAACUUGGUCCUUUCAAGUUCAGAUCAAGGUCAGGCCCAGAGACUUUUGGCAUAGAGAGGUUCACUGAAGGCAAGUCUACUCCUGGCCCCUUUAGAGAAACAUCGGGCCCUUCGAGCUUAACAUCUGGUCCUCUCAAGUCUCCUUCAAGAGAGGGUAGCUGGGCAUGGACCUCGGCUCCCCCACCCUCCAUUUUCACACCUGGGAUGCCGAUCUUGGGCAUGGAAAACUUGGGGAACUUAAUUUUUGCUUCUGGACCUUGCAGAUCUACAUCUGGUCCUUCCAGUCCCACGCUGGGGACAUCACCCUUUAUCUUUGGUCCUUUCAAGUUUACAUUCACAUCAGGGAUGGAGACUUGAGGGGCAGAAAUGCCGAAGGACGGUGUUUUGACUUUAGCAUCUAGGCCUUCGAUGUUGAUGUCAGGUGCACCCAAGUUUGCCUGCACUUUGGGGCCUUUCAGGUCACCCUCUAUUUUUGGCACUGAGAUGUCCACAUCUGGCAUCUUGACCUUGGGAGCCUUCGCCUUGAUGUCAAGACCUUCGACGUGAAUCGCUGGCAAAGAAAGUUCCAGAUCAGGUGCCUGGAGUUCACCCUCCAGUUUGGGGCUAGGGAGAGGGGCCUCAGCUUUAAAUUUAGGUGAUUUAAUGUCAAACUCUACAUCUGGGAAGUACAUUUUUCCAAACAUCGUUUUCUUGGUUUUGGGCGAUUUCACGUCGACUUUGAGUGCAGCAUCCGGCCCUGCGAUGUUGACAUCUACAUCCGGAGCCUUGAGGCUGGCAUCAAUUUCACCCCCAGGAACAUUCAGGUCAAAUCCCUGUUUUUUGGCCUUAAUCUUAGGACCACUCAUAUGAAUUUUAGGCAUUUUAAACUUACUUUUCUUGCCCUUGCCACCAACACUAAUUUCAGGAGUCUCAAGGUUCAGCUCUGCCUCAGGAACAGUGACAUCCAGUGAAGGUGACUUGAUGUCAGCUUUGGGGCUUUUUGCCCCAAAUCCAAACUUGGGUUUCUUAAAUUUGGGGAUUUUAACAUCUGGCCCUUCGAUGUUAAUAUCUGGGCUGUCCAUGUGUACAUCUAAGCUUGGAGCUUCAACUUUGGGUCCCUUGAGGUCCACUUCACCACCUUCUAACUUCGGACCUGAAAAUCCAAUUUUUGGUGCCUUGAGAUGCAAAUCAACAUCAGGAGCAGUUACUUUAGGAGCAGAUAUCUCCAGCGAUGGCAUCUUCAAAGAUGGGCCACUGAGUUUGGCAUCAGGGCCUUCGAAAUCCAGACGUGGACCUUUAAGAUCUACUUCUGGGCCUUUCAAAGUCCCUUCAACCUUAGGGACAGACACAUCAAAAUCUCCUUUUACUUUGGGUCCUUUCAAAUCCAGGUCAACAUCAGGUAUGGAGAUCUUGGGAGCUUUGAUAUUUAUUUCAGGCAUCUUGAACUUGGGGCCCUUCAGUUUUGCGUCUGGACCUUCGAUAUUCACAUCUGGAAUAUCAACGUCCACCUUGGGUCCCGAGACAUCGAUGUCGGCCUUGGGCAGGCUCACAUCCACAUCUGGACCUUCUCCUUUGAAGCCAGGCAUGCUGAAUUUGGGCAUUUUCACCUUGGGCAUCUUCAGGUGCCAGUCUGGGCCAUGAACAUCCACAUCAGGGGUGUUGAUGUCCACUUUUGGGCCCUUGAUGUCAGCUUCUGGGCCCUUGAGGUCACCUUCCACUUUAGGAAGGGUAACAUCCACAUCGCCCUUCACUUUGGGUCCUUUCAGGUUUAAGUCAAUAUCAGGCAUGGAGAUCUUGGGGGCUUUGAUGCUCAUCUCAGGCAUCUUGAACUUGGGGCCCUUUAGUUUCGCAUCUGGACCUUCGAUAUUCACAUCAGGAACAUCAACGUCCACUUUGGGUCCUGAGACAUCAAUGUCAGCCUUGGGCAGGUUCACAUCCACAUCUGGGCCCUCUCCUUUGAAGCCAGGCAUGCUGAACUUGGGCAUUUUCACUUUGGGCAUUUUUAGGUGCCAGUCUGGGCCUUGAACGUCCACAUCUGGGACAUCAAUGUCCACUUUGGGGUCCCUGAUGUCAACUUCGGGGCCCUUGAGGUCGCCUUCCACUUUGGGCAGAGAAAUGUCCAUGUCGCCCUUCACCUUUGGACCUUUCAGAUUCAGGUCAACUUCAGGCAUAGAGAUCUUCGGUGCCUUGAGGUGUAAGUCAGGCAUUUUAAAUUUGGGGCCCUUCAGUUUCCCUUCUGGACCAUGAAUGUCAAUAUCAGGAGUGUCAAUGCCCACUUUAGGGCCUUUGACAUCCACUUUGGGACCUUUCAGAUCUCCCUCCAGUUUAGGAACGGAAAUGUCCAUAUCUCCUUUUAUCUUAGGUCCUUUCAAAUUCAAAUCAAUGUCACUCAUGGAGAUUUGUGGGCUUUUGAAAUGUACAUCAGGCAUCUUAAACUUGGGACCUUUGAGCUUCCCUUCAGGACCUUCAAUGUCUACCUCUGGCCCUUUCAGAUCACUUUCCACCUUAGGUAGUGAAACAUCCACAUCACCCUUCACCUUGGGACCUUUCAGGUGCAAAUCAAAGUCAGGCAUAGAGAUUUUGGGAGCUUUGAUGUUCAUCUCAGGCAUCUUAAAUUUGGGCCCCUUCAAUUUUCCUUCCGGACCUUCAAUAUUGACAUCAGGUGUGUCAAUGUCCAAACUGGGGCCUUUUAUGUCAAUUUCAGGGCCCUUGAGAUCACCUUCCACUUUGGGCAGAGAGACAUCCACAUCACCUUUCACUUUGGGACCCUUCAAGUUAAAGUCAAUGUCAGGCAUGGAGAUUUUGGGGGCCUUGAUGUUCAUCUCUGGCAUCUUGAACUUUGGACCCUUGAGUUUUGCAUCUGGACCUUCGAUACUGACAUCAGGGGCAUCAAUGUCCACUUUGGGGCCAGAAAUCUCAAUGUCAGCCUUAGGAAGGGUAACAUCCACAUCUGGGCCCUCUCCUUUGAAUCCUGGCAUGCUGAAUUUGGGCAUUUUCACCUUGGGCAUCUUCAGGUGCCAGUCUGGGCCAUGAACAUCUACAUCAGGGGCAUCGAUGUCCACUUUGGGGCCCUUGAUGUCAACUUCUGGGCCCUUGAGGUCACCUUCCACUUUAGGAAGGGAAACAUCCACAUCACCCUUCACCUUGGGACCUUUCAGAUGCAAAUCAAAGUCAGGCAUGGAGAUCUUGGGGGCUUUGAUGUUCAUCUCAGGCAUCUUGAAUUUAGGGCCCUUUAGUUUCGCAUCUGGACCUUCGAUAUUCACAUCAGGAACAUCAAUGUCCACCUUGGGUCCUGAGACGUCAAGGUCAGCCUUGGGCAGGUUCACAUCCACAUCUGGGCCCUCUCCUUUGAAGCCAGGCAUGCUGAACUUGGGCAUUUUCACUUUGGGCAUUUUUAAGUGCCAGUCUGGGCCUUGAACGUCCACAUCUGGGACAUCAAUGUCCACUUUGGGGCCCUUGAUGUCAACUUCAGGGCCCUUGAGGUCGCCUUCCACUUUGGGCAGAGAAACGUCCACGUCGCCCUUCAUCUUUGGACCUUUCAGAUUCAGGUCAACUUCAGGCAUAGAGAUCUUCGGUGCCUUGAGGUGCAGGUCAGGCAUUUUAAAUUUGGGGCCCUUCAGUUUCCCUUCUGGACCAUGAAUAUCAAUAUCAGGAGUGUCAAUGUCCACUUUGGGUCCUGAGACAACAACGUCAGCCUUAGGCAAGUUCACAUCCACUUCUGGGCCCUCGCCUUUGAGGCUGGGCAUGCUGAACUUGGGCAUUUUCAUCUUGGGUAUUUUCAGGCUCCAGUCCAGGCCUUGGCCUUCCACAUCUGGUGCUUUAAUAUCUACCUUGGGACCUCUGAUGUCCACAUCUGGAACCUGCAUUUCACCCUCUAUCUUUGGUGCAGAGAUAUCUACAUUUCCUUUCAUUUUGGGUCCUUUAAGAUCCAGGUCAACAUCUGGCAAAGACAUCUUAGGAGCUCUGAAGUGCAUCUCAGGCAUCUUAAACUUCGGGCCUUUCAACUUCCCUUCAGGUCCUUCAAGGCUCAGAUCUGGAGCAUUAGUAUCUACUUUUGGUGCAGAAAUGUCCACAUUCGCUUUGGACAGGUUCACAUCAAAUUCUGGCCCCUCUCCUUUGAGGCUGGGCAUGCUAAAUUUGGGCAUUUUAAUCUUUGGCAUCUUCAAGUUCCAGUCAGGACCCUGCAUUUCAACAUCUGGGGCACUGACAUCUACUUUUGGGCCUUUCAGGUCCCCUUCCAGCUUUGGCACUGUCAUAUCAUAUUCUCCCUUUACUUUAGGACCUUUCAUAUGCAAGUCCACAUCAGGCAUGGAGAUCUUGGGGGCCUUGAUAUUCAUCUCUGGCAUCUUGAACUUGGGGCCCUUCAGCUUUCCUUCAGGUCCUUCAAUAUUCACAUCUGGAACUUCAACACCCACCUUGGGUCCUGAGAUGUCCACAUCAGCCUUGGGCAGGUUCACAUCCACUUCUGGGCCCUCUGCUUUGAAGCCAGGCAUGCUGAACUUGGGCAUUUUCAUCUUGGGCAUCUUCAGGUGCCAGUCUGGGCCUUGAACCUCCACAUCUGGGACAUCAAUGUCCAUUUUGGCACUUUUAAGUUCAACAUCAGGAACUUUAAUCUCACUUUCAACCUUUGGCAUUGUGACAUCAUAUUCUCCCUUUACGUUAGGGCCUUUCAGAUGUAAGUCCACAUCAGGCAUGGAGAUCUUGGGGACUUUGAUGUUCAUCUCAGGCAUCUUAAACUUGGGCCCUUUCAAUUUCCCUUCUGGUUCCUCAAUGCUCACAUCAGGAGCAGUAACAUCUAUCUUGGGCCCGGAAAUGUCCACAUCAGCCUUGGGCAGGUUCACAUCCACUUCUGGGCCCUCUGCUUUGAACCCUGGCACACUGAAUUUGGGCAUUUUCAUCUUGGGCAUCUUCAAGUGCCAGUCUGGGCCAUGAACAUCCACAUCUGGGGCAUCAAUGUCCACUUUUGGGCCUUUGAGUUCUCCUUCCAGCUUUGGUACAGUUACAUCAUACUCUCCCUUCACCUUUGUACCUUUCACGUGCAAAUCUACAUCAGGCAUGGAGAUCUUUGGUGUCUUGACACUCAUAUCAGGCAGCUUAACAUCGGGGCCUUUAAGUUUUCCCCCCAGACCCUCCAAGUUGACAUCUGGGGCUUCCACAUUGACCUUGGGCCCUGAAAUACUGAUAUCUCCUUUGGGUAGAGUCAUAUGAACAUCUGGACCUUCCCCUUUGGCUCCUGGAGUGCUGAACGUGGGCAUUUUCAUCUUGGGCAUUUUCAGGUUCCAUUCUGGGCCAUGCGCUUCGACAUCUGGGGCACUGACAUCCACUUUGGGGCCUCUGACAUCAACUUCAGGGACUUUGACUUUCCCUUCUACUCUGGGGAGUGUGACAUCUACACCCCCUUUCACUUUAGGUGCGGCCACAUUUAAGUCUACUUCUGACAUAGAGAUCCUACAGGUUCCGGUUUUCCCGGAAGGACUGCCAAGCCUAGGGCCUGUCAAGGUUCCCUCUAGGUUUGGUGUCUCUAUGUCCACUCUGGAGCCUUUAAGUGCCACUUGAGGGCCUUUAACAUCACCUUGCACCCCAGGAGCAGAAACCUUAAUAUCUCCUUUCAGUUUAGG